GAAAAAACAGAUACAAUUUUUGAUUUGUUAAAACUGAUAUUGACUAAAUUUAAUAUUUAGUAUUGAAAUGACUAGGGAUGCAUGAUAUAUUUUUUUCAUUGUUAAUGAUAUCUAAUGCAGAUAACUAAUGUUAACACAGAGAACCUUACUGGAUAGUGGUACCAUUAUGUAAAUUGAGUAACUGAGUAAAAAAAAAGGUAAUUUUGAGUUCAAUUCAUGCACAGAAAUUCAUAUGCAUUCAGCAGGAGAACAGGAAAGCACAGUCGACUCUGCGAUGCCAUCUGGAUCAGGUAUCGAAGUGAGUGGCGAGACAGGGCUUAAUAUUCUCAGAACAAUUCUGAGUAAACAAUCAAACCUUGAGGACGCAGACAUUGCAGCUGCAAUGCCGAAAAUCAGCUUCUCUCAAGAAUGGCACCAAAGUACUUUCAAGAAAUAGAUCAGUUUGUGGAGAACCACUUACCCUCGCUGCCACCAGAGGGAUCUCAAGUAAAGCAGAUGCAGGACUUUCUAAAGAGCGCACAGAGUAUUAUAUGCAAUGAGGUGCGCAGAUUAACACCUUUACUGAAAAAUGCUGGACUGCUAGUUCAUCUGAAGGACAGUUACAGCCGUCACCUCUUUACCAACCUGGACCUGCUACUAAACAGAGAUCUGUCUGUAAAACAGAUCUUCUGCCUUAUUAUGUGGGAAAAAGAUGUUUUCUUCAGUCCAGACUCAAAACUGAGUGUGUACGACCCUUCGCUGCUGACAGGAAGGUUUGAGAGAGCAAAGCAGAAACUGCUUCAAGUACUUCAGGUAGGACUUUAUGGUAUCCACCUUGUUUUUUAACAGCAUGGCCACUUAAAUGUGCGAGGCUUCCGCUGUCAUCCACUUCUAGUUAUUUUAGCUGUACAAAAUCAGUCUGUUCUGGUGCUUGAUAUUGCAAACUGCUAUUUGUUAUGGUGUAAUUUAAAUGUAUUAUCGUAAUAAUAAAUACACUGGUUUGUAGUGCAAAUAGUUUUACAAUUUCUGCACUUUACACUUAAAAAAAUGCUGGGUCAAAACAACCCAGUGCUGGGUGAAAUAUGGACAAGCCCAGCAAUUUGGUUGUUUUGACCCAGCAGUUUGGUUAAAUGUUUAACCCAACCUUCUGGGUAGUAACCCAACCGCUGGGUCAAAACAAUCCAGUUGCUGGGUUUGUCCAAUUUUACCCAGCACUGGGUUGCAUUUAACCCAGCAUUUUUUAGAGUAUAUACAAUAGCAAUUAAUGAAACGGAAGUCUUGUACAUUCACAGAAAAGAUUGCGUUGCAAAAAAAAGGUGGGUAUGACUUUCUGUUAUUUGAAUUCUUUGACUCUCAUUACUGACUAAUGCAUGAAAGGACCCAAAACAUGCACAUGAGGUGUAACACACUUGUAUCUCUGCCCAACUUAAACUGCCAAAGGAUGACAUCUCCAAGACUCUACAGAACAUCCUACACUAUGAUGAGAAACAUGGACAUAAUGAGGACUCAAUGGAUGAAGAAACUUUCAUCAGAGUUCACUUAGAUGUCACUCAGUGCCUGAACUAUGCUAUUUUUGAUGCUAAAAAAGUUGGUCUGACUUUGAUGCAUGCAGUACAAAUACUCUGUAGUGGAGAGCUGCAUGGUUUUGUUCAGAAGUAUGUGGAUGCUAAGAACAAACGUCUAUAAAAAACAAACGUUUACAGAGACAAACUCUGUGUAUCUGUUUCGGAUAAUCAACACCUGCAUGCAACUCAGAUGUUGUGCUACACAAAUCAGUCCAAAUACAAACAGCAGAGAUGUCUCCUCAAGCACUAUAUGCAUGCUACAGAAACUGGAAGACAAUGCUUCAUCCAUUGUACGAAAGCUCAUGAAAUGCUUAGCACAGGCCAAUUUAGAAGGUUAUUUUGAGAAAAGAGAUGGGCAUAUUGAUAUCCUGAUGGAGGCAAUCCAAAGGCAGUGUGCAUCUCUGCCUGAGACUGCUUCAGAGAUCAAAACGGUCAUUGUGAAAAUAGCUUACGACAGUGUUUCCAAAGUGUACCUGGAAUGCUUGAUGAAGACAAAUGUCAGAAAGCUAGAGAUGCUUUGGGGAAAUGCUGAGGAAAAGAUAAAAGAGGAUGUUCAACAUUUUCACCAAAUAUUCUCUGACCUGAAUGGCAUUGCUGCCCAGGAGAGCUCCUUCAGAGAAUGAGUGUUUUGCUUUACAGUCAUGUAAAAACGAAGGACGUUACCAAUGCUUUGUUCAAAGACUUCCCUCAGGAGAGUGAGCAGUAUGUACCUGGUCUGCUGCGCUGGAAGGGUGUGUUAUCAGAGCAACAGCUUGAGGUCAGAGGGGAACAGACAUCUGAAUACAGUUCACAGCAGUCCGGAGUUCCUGAUCUCAUCGCUCUAGAUGUUGAAGCGAGUAACAAGAGAGUGCUUAAUAUUCUCAGAAUGAUUCUGAGUGACCAAUCAACCCCUGAGGACUUUGACACUGCAGCUGAGGUGCUGAAAACAUGGAGCAAACUGAACAACAGCUUCUCUCAAGACUGGCUUUGUGAGUACCUUCAGGAAAUAGAUCAGUUUGUUGAGAAAAACUUUCCCUCGCUGCCAGCAGAGGGACCACAAGGAUCUCAGUUAGAGCAGAUGCAAGAAUUUCUAAACAGUGCACAGAGUGUUAUAUAUGAUGAGGUGUGUCGAUUAACACCUUUACUGAAAGAUGCUGGACUGCUAGUUCAUCUGAUGGACAGUUACAGCCAUCACCUCUUUACCAACCUGGACCUGCUCCUAAACAGAGAUCUUUCAGCGAAUGAAAUUUUCUGCCUUCUAAUGUGGGGAAAAAAUGUUUUCUUCAGUCCAGACUCACAGCAUUUCUUCAGAGUGUACGACCCUCUGCUGUUGACAGGUUGGUUUGAGAGAGCAACAAGGAAGCUGCUGCCAAAACUGGAGGAUGACAUCUCCACGACUCUACAGAACAUCCGACACUAUGAUGAGGAACAUGGACAUAAUGAGGACUCAAUGGAUGAAGAAACUUUCAUCAGAGUUCACUUAGAUGUCACCCAGUGUCUGAAUGCUGUUAUUAACAAUUCUAAAGAAUUUAGUAACACCCUGAUGUGUACAGCACAGACGCUCUGCCUUAAAGAGCUUCAUCAUUUUGUUCAGGAGUAUGCACAUGCACAGAAAAAAUGUCUGGGAAAACAGAAACCCCUGAACUCAAAAUAUGUGCAUCUGUUUCGGCUCAUCAGCACCAGUAGGCAACUCAGAUUUUUUGCUGAUCGACUCAACAAUCCGGAUAUUAACAACAGUAACGACCUCUCAAACAUCAUCUGCAUGUUAGAGGAGCUGGAAGAUCACGUUCUGUCAAUUGUACAGAAGAUGAUGAAACACUUAGCGCAGGGCUAUUUGAGAAAAUAUUUCAAAAAAGAAGGUGAGCAAAUUCAAAUGCUGACAGAGGGCAUUCAAAAGCGGUGUGCAUCUCUGCCUCAGGCUCAUGUGGGAAAAGAGAUUCAGGAGAUCUUUGUAAAUGUAGCCUAUGACUGCAUUUCACACGUAUAUCUGGAUUGCCUGAUGAAGAGCAAGUUCAAGCGGCUAGAGAAGAGAUGGGGAAAUGUCGGAGAAAGGAUGAGAGAGGAUGCUCUCAGUUUUCACAACACAUUUACUGAACUGAAUGGCAGUGAUGACCAGAGGUACCAUCUCCUUCAGAGAAUGAGUGAAGUUUUGCUCUGCAGUGAUGUAGAUGCACUGAAGAUUACCUGUUGUGAUUUGUUCAGGGAUUUCCCUCAAGACAGUGAGCAGUAUGUACCUGGUCUGCUGCGCUGGAAAGGUGUGUUAUCAGAGCGACAGGUGAAGGAAGUGCUGACUGUGAGCCGGGAUCUCGUUCUGGAUCUAAAGCCUAGACGUGUCACAUGUCAGCGUCUGAAGGGGCUUUGCUGUUGUCUUUGAUAUGAAUAGCAACAUCAGCCAGAUUUGUGAAACCUCUGUUUACAAGUUUAAAUUGAUGACAUGACUUUUGUGAACAUUAGUGAACAUUAGUUGUUUAUACAGGUACAUUUAUAUUUUAAUCAGAUACAAUAUUUUUGUACCUUUUAACCUUUUGAUUUUACUUGAAAAUAGGAAAUCAUGUUUCUAUCUGACCACCGGGAAAAAAAUGAAAUUACCCUUUUUGGUAUGUCUUUUCUAUGAUAGUAUAAUUAAUUAAGUUUAAAAAAUUAAGUAAAAUUUAAAUAUGGAAUUACCUAAAGUUGACUUAAGUUAUGUGAAAUUCGCAAAGGAAAUAAGUCAAUUUAACAUAGCUAUUUAGAGUUUGAUGAGUAAUUUCUUCUUAAUUAUUGCAAUACUCAAGUACUUUUCACUCAAUCAUAGUUUGUAAACUUCAUUCAAACAAUGUAGCACUGAAAAAAAAGAACUAUGCUAUUAAAGCAUGUGGUUCAUUUACAAACAUGUAAGCAAGCAAACCGCUUUUUAUCCUUUUUAAGAUGAUAUGUUUACACAAUAUAGUUUUUACCCAAAUGAGCAACAGUUACUAAAUCUAACAACAAAAGCAACAAGAAAACAGUGUAAAUAGAACUCGAAAACAUAAUUACUUAUUCCCCAGUGCAUGAAUCUUUGUAAACAUAACAAACAAUUCCAAGUAAAAUAUACUUAUAAGUUCAAACUUUAAUUUCUACAAGUUUAAAUUGGAUACUAAUAUAGAACUUACUCUUUUUUAAUUCUUGCCUGAACUAAACAUUUGUUUUUCCGUAGUAUUUACUAUUCAUUUUUAUCAGUGAGGAUGGUAACCACAUGUCCAUUUAUUUCUUAAAUUAUUGUUAAAUUAUUGUUGUAAUAUUUAAUAUUUAUAUUGGUUGUAUUUUCUUUUAUUUAUUCUUAUUUGAAAAUAGGACACAGUAUUUCUUUUAUGUAAGAUUAUUUUAUCAUACAAGAGUCAGUGGUACUAUAACAAGUAACUUUAAAAGUAUAACAAGUGACUUUGGUACCUCAAUAAAGACAUAAAUGACAUUUUUA
ensembl:lncRNA